rnacentral:rRNA from 1 species
UACGUAGGUGGCGAGCGUUGUCCGGAUUUACUGGGCGUAAAGAGCGCGCAGGCGGUCGUUCAAGUCGCGUGUGAAAGCCCCCGGCUCAACUGGGGAGGGUCACUCGAUACUGAUCGACUCGAAGGCAGGAGAGGGUAGUGGAAUUCCCGGUGUAGUGGUGAAAUGUGUAGAGAUCGGGAGGAACACCGGUGGCGAGGGCGGGUCUCUGGGCAAUUCCUGACGCUGAGGCGCGAAAGCGUGGGGAGCAAACGGG